GAUGAACGCUAGCGGCAGGCUUAAUACAUGCAAGUCGAGGGGUAGCAAGAUUGUAGCAAUACAAUUGUUGACGACCGGCAAACGGGUGCGGAACACGUACACAAACUUCCUACAAGUGGGGAAUAGCCCAGAGAAAUUUGGAUUAAUACCCCGUAACAUAGCGAUGUGGCAUCACAUUGCUUUUAUAGCUUCGGCGCUUGUUGCUGGGUGUGCGGCUGAUUAGAUAGUUGGCGGGGUAACGGCCCACCAAGUCUACGAUCAGUAGCUGAUGUGAGAGCAUGAUCAGCCACACGGGCACUGAGACACGGGCCCGACUCCUACGGGAGGCAGCAGUAAGGAAUAUUGGACAAUGGACGCAAGUCUGAUCCAGCCAUGCCGCGUGAAGGAUUAAGGUCCUCUGGAUUGUAAACUUCUUUUAUAAGGGACGAAAAAAGGUCUUUCUAGAUCGUCUGACGGUACCUUAUGAAUAAGCACCGGCUAACUCCGUGCCAGCCGCCGCCGUAAUAC
rnacentral:rRNA from 1 species